GAGAAGAAAUUGAACAUAGAAUACGAUCUGAAUAUGAAAGAGAUUUCAACUCUUGAACAAUCAAUGAGUAAUACCUCAGCUGAAAUGUAUUCAUUCUUCUGAAGUUCGAGAUCACGCUUUACAAAACUUCACCAUUCUUGAGAAAAUGCAGAGGUGAAGAGAAUUGCUACAGAUGAUUCCAAGAGAAAACUGAGUUUUAAAGGAUGAAGGUAAGUUUUGCUAACUCUACUCUCAUUCUCUUAUCCUUUUAUACUAGUGCAGGUAGUUCAAGUACUUCUGUUACAAAUUUGUUACAACAGAAUAACCAAUAUAGAAAUAUGCGAGAGUCCUUCUAGCUUUAAUCUGUGCAGUUCCUUUAAUCCUGCUUGAUCAACUUCUGUUCUUCCAGAUUUUGAUGCCAUGGAUUGCCAGCUCAUUGAUGCCAUGGAUCACCAGCUCAUCAAUUCAUGCCAUGGAUCGCCAGCUCAUCAAUCUUCCUCUGCUCCAGAUUCUUCAGCUAACGACU
rnacentral:lncRNA from 1 species